rnacentral:rRNA from 1 species
GACGAACGCUGGCGGCGUGCCUAAUACAUGCAAGUAGGACGCAGUUGCGAACGGGUGAGUAACGCGUAGGUAACUACCUAUUAACGGGUGAUAACGAUUGGAAACGAUAGCUAAUACCGCUUACUAGUAGAUGGACCUGCGUUGUAUUAGCUAGUAGGUAGGGUAAUUGGCUAACUAGGCAACGUGACAUAGCCGACCUUAUGGUGUGGACGGCCAGACUGGGACGGAGACACGGCCCAUACUCCGUCGGGCGGCAGCGGUAUGGAAUCUUAGGCAAUGGGGGGAACCCUGACCGAGCAAAGCGGCGUAAGUGAAGAAGGUUUUCGGAUCGUAGAGCUCUGUUGUUAAUGAAACGGUACUUAACCAGAAAGGGACGGCUAACUACGUGCCAGCAGCCGCGGUAAUAC